AAAAGCUAGAUGCAAUUAUUGUCAAAAAGAAUUGUUUGCUGAUCCUAAACUGAACGGCACUAGUUCACUAAAAUCCCAUGCAAUUUCAUCGAAGAAUCA